GGCCCCUUGGUCAAGCGGUUAAGACACCGCCCUUUCACGGCGAUAACAUGGGUUCGAAUCCCGUAGGGGUCA
rfam:Megasphaera micronuciformis F0359 genomic scaffold Scfld16, whole genome shotgun sequence.